AUAUACGACCGUACCGCAAACCGACACUGGUGCGCGAGAUGAGUAUUCUAAGGCGCUUGAGAGAACUCAGGAGAAGGAACUCGGCAAAUUGACACCGUAACUUCGGAAGAAGGUGUGCCCUAUUAGUGUGUAGUGAACAACGAAGCAUGAAUGGGUUGCAAAAAAUCGGUGGCUGCGACUGUUUAUUAAAAACACAGCACUCUGCAAACACGAAAGUGGACGUAUAGGGUGUGACGCCUGCCCGGUGCUGGAAGAUUAAAUGAUGGGGUGCAAGCUCUUGAUUGAAGUCCCAGUAAACGGCGGCCGUAACCAUAACGGUCCUAAGGUAGCGAAAUUCCUUGUCGGGUAAGUUCCGACCUGCACGAAUGGCGUAACGAUGGCCACACUGUCUCCUCCUGAGACUCAGCGAAGUUGAAAUGUUUGUGAUGAUGCAAUCUCCCCGCGGAAAGACGGAAAGACCCCAUGAACCUUUACUGUAGCUUUGUAUUGGACUUUGAACAGAUCUGUGUAGGAUAGGUGGGAGGCUUUGAAGCAGGGUCGCUAGAUCUUGUGGAGCCAACGUUGAAAUACCACCCUGGUGUGUUUGAGGUUCUAACCUAGGUCCGUUAUCUGGAUCGGGGACAGUGCAUGGUAGGCAGUUUGACUGGGGCGGUCUCCUCCCAAAGCGUAACGGAGGAGUUCGAAGGUACGCUAGUUACGGUCGGACAUCGUGACGAUAGUGCAAUGGCAUAAGCGUGCUUAACUGCGAGACUGACAAGUCGAGCAGAUGCGAAAGCAGGACAUAGUGAUCCGGUGGUUCUGUAUGGAAGGGCCAUCGCUCAACGGAUAAAAGGUACUCUGGGGAUAACAGGCUGAUACCGCCCAAGAGUUCAUAUCGACGGCGGUGUUUGGCACCUCGAUGUCGGCUCAUCUCAUCCUGGGGCUGUAGCCGGUCCCAAGGGUAUGGCUGUUCGCCAUUUAAAGAGGUACGUGAGCUGGGUUUAAAACGUCGUGAGACAGUUUGGUCCCUAUCUUCCGUGGGCGCUGCAGAUUUGAGGAAGCCUGCUCCUAGUACGAGAGGACCGGAGUGGACACACCUCUGGUGUAUCGGUUGUCACGCCAGUGGCAUUGCCGAGUAGCUAAGUGUGGAAGAGAUAACCGCUGAAAGCAUCUAAGCGGGAAACUCGUUUCAAGAUGAGAUCUGCCGGGGCCUUGAGCCCCCUAAAGAGUCGUUCAAGACCAGGACGUUGAUAGGUCAGGUGUGGAAGCGAU
rnacentral:rRNA from 1 species